rnacentral:rRNA from 1 species
UACGUAGGGUGCAAGCGUUGUCCGGAAUUAUUGGGCGUAAAGAGCGUGUAGGCGGUCCGGUAAGUCCGCUGUGAAAGUCGGGGGCUCAACCUCGAAUGCCGGUGGAUACUGUCGGGCUAGAGUGCGGAAGAGGCGAGUGGAAUUCCUGGUGUAGAGGUGAAAUUCGUAGAUAUCAGGAGGAACACGGUGGCGAAGGCGGCUCCUGGCCAUCACUGACGCUGAGACGCGAAAGCGUGGGGAGCAAACAGG